rnacentral:rRNA from 1 species
GAGCGCUCCUANCAUACGAGAGCGGCAGACGGGAGAGUACACGUGGGAACGUACCCUUCGGUUCGGAAUAACCCAGGGAAACUUGGGCUAAUACCGGAUACGUCCGUAAGGAGAAAGAUUUAUCGCCGAAGGAUCGGCCCGCGCCCGAUUAGCUAGUUGGUGAGGUAAUGGCUCACCAAGGCGACGAUCGGUAGCUGGUCUGAGAGGAUGAUCAGCCUCACUGGGACUGAGACACGGCCCAGACUCCUACGGGAGGCAGCAGUGGGGAAUAUUGGACAAUGGGCGCAAGCCUGAUCCAGCCAUGCCGCGUGGGUGAUGAAGGCCUUAGGGUUGUAAAGCCCUUUCGGCGGGGAAGAUAAUGACGGUACCCGCAGAAGAAGCCCCGGCUAACUUCGUGCCAGCAGCCGCGGUAAU